CCGCCUGUACUUCCUGGAGCCACAACCCUCAGACGUCGACUUCAAAACGCUUCCGUAAAAUAUUCCACUCCGGUGCGUACUGCUCCGUUUUCAGUGUACUAGCUAGUAUACGACGUUUUUGGAAAUAUUGUUCAACAUUUAUCUAAAUAGAAUGAAGGCCAAGGGAUUUGCAGUUACCCAUCACCUGUAAAGGAUACUUCCUCUGACAUUCUUAGAGCUGUCAUUUUAUUGUGAGGAACUGCAGUUCGAUCGGAAUAGUUGUUCUGUUUUUGUCCUCUGUUUUGUGAGUGACCCUCUCACUCAGUCAACUCGUCUCAGUGCACAAGUCUCCCCUUCUCCAGACACCGCGUAUGAAUCAGAAUCCGUAGCUAGUUGUGACACGUGAGCCUCUGGAUGAAAAGCAGAGUAUCCCUAAAGCAGCGUGGUCGUAUCAGCCCCCCAUGUUGGACUAAACUCUACACAAGUGAAAACCCCAAAUCCCUAAAGAUCCUCUAUUUGCCAAACUAGAGGGACAUGAAGUCUGACUCCUUCCUCAACAUGUGGACCUGCCCUGAGGAUGUUGGACACCACUGUUACACCUUCAGCCUUGUUGAUUUCCUGUCAGACUGGUCGUUUUUCAACUCCAUUCCACGGACGGACUGACCUGAAAUUUUACCAGAACAGGAACACAAUGUUCAACAGACUCUACUCAGACUGGUCGUCUUUGAACUCAAGAGGAACACAAUGUUCAUCAGACUCUACUCAGACUGGUCAUCUUUGAACU